rnacentral:rRNA from 1 species
UUAAGUGACUAAGCGUACACGGUGGAUGCCUGGGCAGUCAGAGGCGAUGAAGGACGUACUAACUUGCGAUAAGCGCAGAUAAGGCAGUAAGAGCCGUUUGAGUCUGCGAUUUCCGAAUGGGGAAACCCAACUGCAUAAGCAGUUACUGUUAACUGAAUACAUAGGUUAACAGAGCAAACCGGGGGAACUGAAACAUCUAAGUACCCCGAGGAGAAGAAAUCAACCGAGAUUCCGGUAGUAGCGGCGAGCGAACCUGGAUUAGCCCUUAAGCACUCGGUGAAGUAGGUGAACAAGCUGGAAAGCUUGGCGAUACAGGGUGAUAGCCCCGUAACCGACGCUUCAUCGAGCGUGAAAUCGAGUAGGGCGGGACACGUGAUAUCCUGUCUGAAUAUGGGGGGACCAUCCUCCAAGGCUAAAUACUCCUGACUGACCGAUAGUGAACCAGUACCGUGAGGGAAAGGCGAAAAGAACCCCUGUGAGGGGAGUGAAAUAGAACCUGAAACCGUGUACGUACAAGCAGUAGGAGCACCUUCGUGGUGUGACUGCGUACCUUUUGUAUAAUGGGUCAGCGACUUAUAUUCAGUGGCAAGGUUAACCGUAUAGGGGAGCCGUAGCGAAAGCGAGUCUUAACUGGGCGCUCAGUCUCUGGAUAUAGACCCGAAACCGGGUGAUCUAGCCAUGGGCAGGUUGAAGGUUGAGUAACAUCAACUGGAGGACCGAACCGACUAAUGUUGAAAAAUUAGCGGAUGACUUGUGGCUAGGGGUGAAAGGCCAAUCAAACUCGGAGAUAGCUGGUUCUCCCCGAAAGCUAUUUAGGUAGCGCCUCGGACGAAUACUACUGGGGGUAGAGCACUGUUAAGGCUAGGGGGUCAUCCCGACUUACCAACCCUUUGCAAACUCCGAAUACCAGUAAGUACUAUCCGGGAGACACACGGCGGGUGCUAACGUCCGUCGUGGAGAGGGAAACAACCCAGACCGCCAGCUAAGGUCCCAAAGUAUUGCUAAGUGGGAAACGAUGUGGGAAGGCUCAGACAGCUAGGAUGUUGGCUUAGAAGCAGCCAUCAUUUAAAGAAAGCGUAAUAGCUCACUAGUCGAGUCGGCCUGCGCGGAAGAUGUAACGGGGCUAAGCAAUACACCGAAGCUGCGGCAAUAUCUUUUAGAUAUUGGGUAGGGGAGCGUUCUGUAAGCCGUUGAAGGUGAAUCGUAAGGUUUGCUGGAGGUAUCAGAAGUGCGAAUGCUGACAUGAGUAACGACAAAGGGGUGAAAACCUCCUCGCCGGAAGACCAAGGGUUCCUGUCCAACGUUAAUCGGGGCAGGGUGAGUCGACCCCUAAGGUGAGGCCGAAAGGCGUAAUCGAUGGGAAACGGGUUAAUAUUCCCGUACUUCUGACUAUUGCGAUGGGGGGACGGAGAAGGCUAGGUGGGCCAGGCGACGGUUGUCCUGGUUCAAGUGCGUAGGCUUGAGAGUUAGGUAAAUCCGGCUCUCUCUAAGGCUGAGACACGACGUCGAGCUGCUACGGCAGUGAAGUCAUUGAUGCCAUGCUUCCAGGAAAAGCCUCUAAGCUUCAGAUAGUCAGGAAUCGUACCCCAAACCGACACAGGUGGUCGGGUAGAGAAUACCAAGGCGCUUGAGAGAACUCGGGUGAAGGAACUAGGCAAAAUGGUACCGUAACUUCGGGAGAAGGUACGCUCUUGAUGGUGAAGUCCCUCGCGGAUGGAGCUGACGAGAGUCGCAGAUACCAGGUGGCUGCAACUGUUUAUUAAAAACACAGCACUGUGCAAAAUCGCAAGAUGACGUAUACGGUGUGACGCCUGCCCGGUGCCGGAAGGUUAAUUGAUGGGGUUAGCGCAAGCGAAGCUCUUGAUCGAAGCCCCGGUAAACGGCGGCCGUAACUAUAACGGUCCUAAGGUAGCGAAAUUCCUUGUCGGGUAAGUUCCGACCUGCACGAAUGGCGUAAUGAUGGCCACGCUGUCUCCACCCGAGACUCAGUGAAAUUGAAAUCGCUGUGAAGAUGCAGUGUACCCGCGGCUAGACGGAAAGACCCCGUGAACCUUUACUACAGCUUGGCACUGAACAUUGAACCUACAUGUGUAGGAUAGGUGGGAGGCUAUGAAGACGUGACGCCAGUUGCGUUGGAGCCGUCCUUGAAAUACCACCCUUGUAUGUUUGAUGUUCUAACUUAGACCCAUUAUCUGGGUUGAGGACAGUGCCUGGUGGGUAGUUUGACUGG